rnacentral:rRNA from 1 species
GAGUUUGAUCCUGGCUCAGGAUGAACGCUAGCGGCAGGCUUAAUACAUGCAAGUCGUGGGGCAGCAGCUUUGUAGCAAUACAGAGGCUGGCGACCGGCAAACGGGUGCGGAACACGUACGCAACCUACCCAUAACUGGGGAAUAGCCCGGGGAAACCCGGAUUAAUACCCCGUAACAUAUUGAUAAGGCAUCUUAUUAAUAUUAUAGCUCCGGCGGUUAUGGAUGGGCGUGCGCCUGAUUAGGUAGUUGGCGGGGUAACGGCCCACCAAGCCUACGAUCAGUAACUGGUGUGAGAGCACGACCAGUCACACGGGCACUGAGACACGGGCCCGACUCCUACGGGAGGCAGCAGUAAGGAAUAUUGGUCAAUGGACGCAAGUCUGAACCAGCCAUGCCGCGUGGAGGAUGAAGGUCCUCUGGAUUGUAAACUUCUUUUAUCUGGGAAGAAACCCAUGAAUUCUUUUGUGGUUGACGGUACCAGAUGAAUAAGCACCGGCUAACUCCGUGCCAGCAGCCGCGGUAAUACAGAGGGUGCAAGCGUUAUUCGGAAUUAUUGGGCGUAAAGGGCGCGUAGGCGGCCAUGCGUGUCUUCCGUGAAAUCCCUCGGCUUAACUGAGGACGUGCGGAAGAAACUGCAGGGCUUGAGUCCGGGAGAGGGGGGUGGAAUUCCCAGUGUAGCGGUGAAAUGCGUAGAUAUUGGGAGGAACACCGGUGGCGAAGGCGGCCCCCUGGACCGGUACUGACGCUGAGGCGCGAAAGCGUGGGUAGCAAACGGGAUUAGAUACCCCGGUAGUCCACGCCGUAAACGAUGGGCACUUGGUGUCGCGGGUAUCGACCCCUGCGGUGCCGAAGCUAACGCGUUAAACGUGCCGCCUGGGGAGUACGGUCGCAAGAUUAAAACUCAAAGAAAUUGACGGGGGCCCGCACAAGCGGUGGAGUAUGUGGCUCAAUUCGAUGCAACGCGAAGAACCUUACCAGGCCUUGACAUGCAUCUCUAAGUUGGUGAAAGCCAGCGAGUCCCGAAAGGGACAAUUUGCACAGGUGCUGCAUGGCUGUCGUCAGCUCGUGUCGUGAGAUGUUGGGUUAAGUCCCGCAACGAGCGCAACCCCUGUGAACUGUUGCCACCGAGCCGUGAGGCUCGAGCACUCUGUUCAGACUGCCCCGUUCUAACGGGGAGGAAGGUGGGGACGACGUCAAGUCAGUAUGGCCCUUACGGCCUGGGCUGCACACGUGCUACAAUGGCGGUGACAAUGGGAAGCAAUGGCGCGAGCCUGCGCAAAUCUCAAAAAGCCGUCUCAGUUCGGAUUGCACUCUGCAACUCGAGUGCAUGAAGUUGGAAUCGCUAGUAAUCGCGGAUCAGCACGCCGCGGUGAAUACGUUCCCGGGCCUUGCACACAC